GAGUGUCGUCUGCUCAGGCCCUGUGGAGUGUGGCCUUCAUGUGUACUCACUUCCCUGCGCCUCUUCCGGCCUCACCUGCUGGGGCACGUUAGCUCAGGGGAGAUGGAUGUCCAAAGCCAGCCGAGAGAACUGGACCUUCCUUAACAUCUCGGGGCACAUCCACCACAUGCCAAUCUAUGGCAAAGCAAGAGAGAAGACCCAGCUUGCAGCCCCCACUACGUCCUAGUUCAGGUGUCUGUCUCCUUGGUCGAAUCACUUAGCUUUCUGAGCCUGAGUUUCGUUUUGCGUAAGAUGAAACAAGAGCAGCCGCCGGGGGACAUGGGAUUAAACGAAAUACAAGUGUUGGUUUCUCAUCUCCGUGCAAGCAGAUUUAUCUGGCUCCUCGGUCGACAAAAUCAUCUCCUCAAGAAACAUGGGAUCCAGGGUCUGCUGGAGGAGACCCCCUUUCUGUUGUUAUCAUGUCCUUCAGAUGAGUAGAGGGUGCGGAGUGAGGAAAAGGAGAAGAGGAAUCAUGCCUUGAUGCAUUGGGAACUGCCAGACAGGUCAAAUAGUGACAGUUCUCUGGGGAGAGACUCUUGGAAACCUCCAAACUUUUUCAGCCCCUUAGAGUGGAGAUCUUUCUUUUUUCUGUAUGCUUCAACAGACCCUCCACUCCAAUCCAGGAAGAGAAAGCCUUAGUGACUGCUUACAGGAAACAGCAGAUUCCUGUAAAAAUCCAGCAGAUUCCUGAAAAAAGUGCAGAACCUGAGAAUCCAGCAACGAAUCACAGUCCCAGCGACAGGAUGGGGGUCAAACCACACAACAACAACUCUAUGACAGCUUUGGAAAUGGAUUGUGAAAACCAGCAAGAGCUACAUUGGACGGGUCAGAGACGCUUUGUGGGUAUAUGAGGUAUGUGCAUGGUUUGAGGGUGGGCUGAGAGCAUGGUCUCUGAGGGAAUGACCAUUGAAAACCACUUCUUCAAGGUGACCUUCUUUUGGGGCUGUUGAAAACUAAGGAUAGCGGUACUCUCUUGAAAAUGAUUCUGACCAAUCACAUCAAAAGCAUGAGGUUAGUCCAACUACUAAAAUCUGACUUCUAAAUUUAGCCUCAGUUAGCUAUUCAGUAAACACCUCUGCAGUACAGAAGUAGAUCAAAAAAAUAUUUACCUAAAGAACACUAGAUUGACGUCCUACUAUUUUUUUGCCUAUAACUAGACCUCAAGAUUUGGAUGAUCUACAUGGGUCCUUGUAUCCCUCCAGGCCAUGUUCAGCCACAAAUUGGCUGGGAAAUCCACCUUUGUGCCAAUUCCUCAAAGUAACUUUCUCCUCACGCUUGUAUUACAGAAAGGGCUACCUGUUCCCUUUCCGUUCCUUUUCUGUUCCCCUAGAAAACUUCUGACCCCAAGUCAAUGUGAAAUUCAUACUGAAGAGUGGAGCAAGCCUCAUAAAAACUACAUGGAGAAGGGGGGAAAUGAUGAACAUUGGAGAAAAUAGAUCUUAGCCUCGGGUUUUAAAGUGCCUUCAGACACACACGGAGAGAAACCAGUGCUGUGUCUCUGAAGGGAUGCAAGUGUUGAGAGGCUUUGACAGGCCAAAGGACAGUUUAACUGAAUGGAACUUUCAUGAAGUCAAAGUGCCACUGCAAUCUGGGGGGAGGAGUCUUGUGGGGGAGGGGCUUUAGACUUUGCUUUCACGUUCCAAUGAACACCUGACUCUUUUUCCAUAGUCACUCCUCUUUUUUUAUUUAUCUCCUACUUGAUUAUAAGCCACUUAAUUUAUCUCAGUGCCCCAGCCAAGCCUGGCACAUAGUAGGUAAUGAAUAGUAGGGGAAGGAGGGAAGGUAAGAAGGAAGGAAGGAAGGAAAGAAGGAAGGAAGGAAGGGAUGGAAGGACAGAGGGAAGGAGAAUAAGACAAUUGGAAAACCUACAUACAGACACAAAUGAAACAAUUUUAAAUGAGCAGAAGACCUGUCUCAAGUAGAUAACUGAAAGACCCGAAAAUUUAGUGGAAUUUCUGAAAAAUUUAGUGGGCUCAGUUCAAUGGAGAAGAGGUUCAGAAUGUCUCUAGUGGCCAAGACAAAAAGGGAAAUCCAGAGAACAGUGUGCCCUAUUCUUUAUUCCCCUGAGUGCCAGGGCCAGAAGUUAAAGCAAAGCCUGGCAAACAGGUGUUUCCUAAAAAUAUCCUGAAUGAAUGCGAAGCUCAUCUCUAAGGCCCUUUCUAGCUCUGACAUAAUGAGACUCUGCUUUUUAAGAUCUGUUGUGGCUGGCAAAUUCCUAUGACGACCCCAUUCUUGGGCCUGGCAAACAGACAGGUGUAAAAUUGCAAGUUGAGGUUAGAAGUAGAAGGGAAAGUUGGACCUUGGGGAGCAGCCUCACUGUUCCAGCACGGCAGCCAGCCGGGGCG